CUCAUCACCCUGUGACAUACCUAAAACGUUGCUUCGGCGGGAACAGACGGCCCCGUAACACGGGCCGCCCCCGCCAGAGGACCCCCUAACUCUGUUUCUAUUAUGUUUCUUCUGAGUAAAACAAGCAAAUAAAUUAAAACUUUCAACAACGGAUCUCUUGGCUCUGGCAUCGAUGAAGAACGCAGCGAAAUGCGAUAAGUAAUGUGAAUUGCAGAAUUCAGUGAAUCAUCGAAUCUUUGAACGCACAUUGCGCCCGCCAGUAUUCUGGCGGGCAUGCCUGUUCGAGCGUCAUUACAACCCUCAGGCCCCCGGGCCUGGCGUUGGGGAUCGGCGAGGCGCCCCCUGCGGGCACACGCCGUCCCCCAAAUACAGUGGCGGUCCCGCCGCAGCUUCCAUUGCGUAGUAGCUAACACCUCGCAACUGGAGAGCGGCGCGGCCACGCCGUAAAACACCCAACUUCUGAAUGUUGACCUCGAAUCAGGUAGGAAUACCCGCUGAACUUAAGCAUAUCAAUAAGCGGAGGAAAAGAAA
rnacentral:rRNA from 1 species